rnacentral:lncRNA from 1 species
AUGCCAUCAUCAAGGCACUACCAUUCUGGUAGAAUUUACUCACCAACUGGUUCAUCUGAUCAGUGGACUGGCACAUCAGGGCAAUGGUUUUCAAGAGAUGUGAACGUCCAGAUAUACGCUCUGAGUAGUGGGCCGGAAGAUGCCACAUCAUUCCCAAUACUAUGCUGUCUCUAACACAACUGAAAUGGGGUGCACCACAGAGCAGGAGCUAAGUGAACACCGCAGUGGAUUUCAGCCACCGUCCCACACCUACAAGAUGUCAAAAGCGCCAAAUCCCAGAGCCUAAUGGGACCUCUGCAGUAGCCAACAUCCCAUAUGCAUAAAAGAACCUUAUAUAGUAGUAUCUCCCCAGCAAAGGGACUGUUCUUGGAAGCCAAACCAUGCUGCUUCUAGAUCCGCUGUAUCUCCCGAAAUAGAUUUAUGAAGAAGGAAGACAGAGACACAAAGGCUAGAGAAGGGCUUCUUACCCUGCUAAAGAAAUUUUUAAGUGUCAAAACUCCAAUGGACAAACUACUAGACCAGGAGGCCAGGAAGGGACAUAAGCAACACGAGGGGGGUUAGAUGGAGGCUGGGGAAGACCCCAGGUGGAGGUGGGAGAGGACCAGGAUCUGACAGCUAAAGGUGGAACCUGAGCUUCUCAAUCUGAAAAUGAAGUGGUUUAUUAAUGGAUAUUGGCUCCCAGGUGACAUCGGCUAAACCACCCAGAACGAUGCAUAUGAAGUCUGAAGUGAAUCCAAGACUUCUAGCUGCACGGUUCUAAAUCCUGGCGGCCAGUUGGCAUUUAGACCUUCUACAACUUGACUCCACACUUCACCUGCCAGCCCCGCAAUGGACCCCGCCUCCAUCUUGAUUGGUGCACUGUGAUCUGCUUAUUGGACAUCUUGUCCCUGAGAGCAGAGUGUGAUGACUCCUUCCGGAUCUUAAUUGGUGAAGGAAAUCUCUGGCUUUAUGCAGAUAGGUAUGUAACAACUAUUUCCCACAGGCAUACUCCCCAUCAUUGUGUGACUG